rnacentral:rRNA from 1 species
AUUGAACGCUGGCGGCAUGCCUUACACAUGCAAGUCGAACGGUAACGGGCCUUCGGGUGCCGACGAGUGGCGAACGGGUGAGUAAUACAUCGGAACGUGCCCGACCGUGGGGGAUAACGAGGCGAAAGCUUUGCUAAUACCGCAUACGAUCUACGGAUGAAAGCAGGGGACCGCAAGGCCUUGCGCGGACGGAGCGGCCGAUGGCAGAUUAGGUAGUUGGUGGGAUAAAAGCUUACCAAGCCGACGAUCUGUAGCUGGUCUGAGAGGAUGAUCAGCCACACUGGGACUGAGGCACGGCCCAGACUCCUACGGGAGGCAGCAGUGGGGAAUUUUGGACAAUGGGCGCAAGCCUGAUCCAGCCAUGCCGCGUGCAGGAUGAAGGCCUUCGGGUUGUAAACUGCUUUUGUACGGAACGAAAAGCCUUCUUUUAAUACAGGAGGGUCAUGACGGUACCGUAAGAAUAAGCACCGGCUAACUACGUG